rnacentral:misc_RNA from 1 species
GAUGAAGAACGUAGCGAAAUGCGAUAAGUAAUGUGAAUUGCAGAAUUCAGUGAAUCAUCGAAUCUUUGAACGCACCUUGCGCCCUUUGGCUAUUCCGAAGGGCAUGCCUGUUUGAGUAUCAUGAACACCUCAACUCUUCAUGGUUUUCCGUGAUGAGCUUGGACUUUGGGGGUCUUGCUGGCCUAUGGUCAGCUCCUCUAAAAUAAAUCAGCUUGCCAGUGUUUGGUGGGUAUCACAGGUGUGAUAACUAUCUACGCUUGUGGUUUUCCACCAGGUAACCUUCAGCAGUGGAGGUUCGCUGGAGCUCACAGAUGUGUCUCUCCUCAGUGAGGACAGCUCUUUGAAUGUUUGAUCUCAAAUCAGGUAGGACUACCCGCUGAACUUAAGCAUAUCAAUAAGCGGAGGA